rnacentral:rRNA from 1 species
AACGAACGCUGGCGGCAGGCUUAACACAUGCAAGUCGAGCGCCCCGCAAGGGGAGCGGCAGACGGGUGAGUAACGCGUGGGAACGUACCUUUUGGUUCGGAACAACUCCGGGAAACUGGAGCUAAUACCGGAUAAGCCCUAACGGGGAAAGAUUUAUCGCCGAAAGAUCGGCCCGCGUCUGAUUAGCUAGUUGGUGAGGUAACGGCUCACCAAGGCGACGAUCAGUAGCUGGUCUGAGAGGAUGAUCAGCCACACUGGGACUGAGACACGGCCCAGACUCCUACGGGAGGCAGCAGUGGGGAAUAUUGGACAAUGGGCGCAAGCCUGAUCCAGCCAUGCCGCGUGAGUGAUGAAGGCCUUAGGGUUGUAAAGCUCUUUUGUCCGGGAAGAUAAUGACUGUACCGGAAGAAUAAGCCACGGCUAACUUCGUG